UACGUAGGGGGCAAGCGUUGUCCGGAUUCAUUGGGCGUAAAGAGCGUGUAGGCGGCCAGGUAGGUCGGUUGUGAAAACUGGAGGCUCAACCUUCAGAGGUCGACCGAAACCAUCUGGCUAGAGUCCGGGAGAGGAGAGUGGAAUUCCUGGUGUAGCGGUGAAAUGCGCAGAUAUCAGGAAGAACACCCGUGGCGAAGGCGGCUUCCUGGACCGACACUGACGCUGAGGAGCGAAAGCGUGGGGAGCGAACAGG
rnacentral:rRNA from 1 species